AGCGCAUGGCUCAGUGGUAAGAGCGUCGAGCUUACGAUCUGAAGGUUGUGGGUUCGAUUCCCAGACUGGGCU
rnacentral:tRNA from 1 species